rnacentral:rRNA from 1 species
GACGAACGCUGGCGGCGUGCCUAAUACAUGCAAGUAGAACGCACAGUUUAUACCGUAGCUUGCUCCACCAUAGACUGUGAGUUGCGAACGGGUGAGUAACGCGUAGGUAACCUGCCUGGUAGCGGGGGAUAACUAUUGGAAACGAUAGCUAAUACCGCAUAAUAUUAAUUAUUGCAUGAUAAUUAAUUGAAAGGUGCAAUUGCACCACUACCAGAUGGACCUGCGUUGUAUUAGCUAGUAGGGGAGGUAACGGCUCACCUAGGCGACGAUACAUAGCCGACCUGGGAGGGUGGUCGGCCACACUGGGACUGGGACACGGCCCAGACUCCUUCGGGAGGCAGCAGUAGGGAAUCUUCGGCAAUGGACGAAAGUCUGACCGGGCAACGCCGCGUGAGUGAAGGAGGUUUUCGGGUCGUAAAGCUCUGGUGUAAGGGAAGAACGGGUGUGAGAGUGGAAAGUGCACACUGUGACGGUAUCUUACCAGAAAGGGACGGCUAACUACGUG